rnacentral:rRNA from 1 species
ACGCCUUAUACAUGCAAGUCGAACGAAGUAGCAAUACUUAGUGGCAGACGGGUGAGUAACAUGUAGGUAUCUACCCUUUGGUGAGGAAUAACACGAGGAAACUUGUGCUAAUACCUCAUAAGUCUUAACGGAGAAAGCUUUAUGCGCCGAAGGAUGAGCCUGCACUUGAUUAGUUUGUUGGUGGGGUAAUGGCCUACCAAGACUUUGAUCUAUAGCUGAUCUGAGAGGAUGAUCAGCCACAUUGGGACUGAGACACGGCCCAAACUCCUACGGGAGGCAGCAGUAGGGAAUAUUGCACAAUGGAGGAAACUCUGAUGCAGCGAUGCCGCGUGAGUGAAGAAGGCCUUUGGGUUGUAAAGCUCUUUCGUCGGGGAAGAAAAUGACUGUACCCGAAUAAGAAGGUCCGGCUAACUUCGUGCCAGCAGCCGCGGUAAUACGAAGGGACCUAGCGUAGUUCGGAAUUACUGGGCUUAAAGAGUUCGUAGGUGGUUAAAAAAGUUGGUGGUGAAAUCCCAGAGCUUAACUCUGGAACUGCCAUCAAAACUUUUUAGCUAGAGUAUGAUAGAGGAAAGCAGAAUUUCUAGUGUAGAGGUGAAAUUCGUAGAUAUUAGAAAGAAUACCAAUUGCGAAGGCAGCUUUCUGGAUCAUUACUGACGCUGAGGAACGAAAGCAUGGGUAGCGAAGAGGAUUAGAUACCCUCGUAGUCCAUGCCGUAAACGAUGUGUGUUAGACGUUGGAAAUUUAUUUUCAGUGUCGCAGCGAAAGCAUUAAACACACCGCCUGGGGAGUACGACCGC